AGUCGAGCGCUCUCUUCGGAGGGAGCGGCGGACGGGUGAGUAACGCGUGGGAACGUGCCCUUCUCUAUGGAAUAGCCACUGGAAACGGUGAGUAAUACCAUAUACGCCCUUCGGGGGAAAGAUUUAUCGGAGAAGGAUCGGCCCGCGUUAGAUUAGGUAGUUGGUGGGGUAAUGGCCUACCAAGCCUACGAUCUAUAGCUGGUUUUAGAGGAUGAUCAGCCACACUGGGACUGAGACACGGCCCAGACUCCUACGGGAGGCAGCAGUGGGGAAUAUUGGACAAUGGGCGAAAGCCUGAUCCAGCAAUGCCGCGUGUGUGAAGAAGGCCUGCGGGUUGUAAAGCACUUUCAGUUGGGAAGAUGAUGACGUUACCAACAGAAGAAGCACCGGCUAAAUCCGUGCCAGCAGCCGCGGUAAUACGGAUGGUGCGAGCGUUAAUCGGAAUUAUUGGGCG
rnacentral:rRNA from 1 species